UACAGAGGUCUCAAGCGUUGUUCGGAUUCAUUGGGCGUAAAGGGUGCGUAGGCGGCGCGGUAAGUCGGGUGUGAAAUCUCGGGGCUUAACUCCGAAACUGCAUUCGAUACUGCCGUGCUUGAGGACUGGAGAGGAGACUGGAAUUUACGGUGUAGCGGUGAAAUGCGUAGAUACCGUAAGGAAGACCAGUGGCGAAGGCGGGUCUCUGGACAGUUCCUGACGCUGAGGCACGAAGGUCAGGGGAGCAAACGGG
rnacentral:rRNA from 1 species